rnacentral:rRNA from 1 species
CCUACGGGUGGCUGCAGUGAGGAAUAUUGGUCAAUGACCGGGAGGCUGAACCAGCCAAGUCGCGUGAGGGAAGACGGCCCUACGGGUUGUAAACCUCUUUUGUCAGGGAGCAAGGUGCAGGUCGGGACCUGCUGUGAGCGUACCUGAAGAUCACGCAUCGGCUAACUCCGUGCCAGCAGCCGCGGUAAUACGGAGGAUGCGAGCGUUAUCCGGAUUUAUUGGGUUUAAGGGGUGGGCAGGCGGAGGCACAAGUCAGCGGUAAAAUCGCGGGGCUCAACCCCGCUCCGCCGUUGAAACUGUGUCCCUUGAGUGCACGAAGGGUAGGCGGAAUGCGUGGUGUAGCGGUGAAAUGCAUAGAUAUCACGCAGAACUCCGAUCGCGAAGGCAGCCUACCGGCGCGCAACUGACGCUCAGGCACGAAAGCGUGGGUAGCGAACAGGAUUAGAUACCCUGGUAGUC